rnacentral:rRNA from 1 species
CAUGAACGCUGGCGGCAGGCUUAACACAUGCAAGUCGAGCGCCCCGCAAGGGGAGCGGCAGACGGGUGAGUAACGCGUGGGAAUCUACCCAUCUCUACGGAACAACGCAUGGAAACGUGUGCUAAUACCGUAUACGUCCUUCGGGAGAAAGAUUUAUCGGAGAUGGAUGAGCCCGCGUUGGAUUAGCUAGUUGGUGGGGUAAAGGCCUACCAAGGCGACGAUCCAUAGCUGGUCUGAGAGGAUGAUCAGCCACACUGGGACUGAGACACGGCCCAGACUCCUACGGGAGGCAGCAGUGGGGAAUAUUGGACAAUGGGCGCAAGCCUGAUCCAGCCAUGCCGCGUGAGUGAUGAAGGCCCUAGGGUUGUAAAGCUCUUUCUCCGGUGAAGAUAAUGACGGUAACCGGAGAAGAAGCCCCGGCUAACUUCGUGCCAGCAGCCGCCGUAAUAC